ACGUAUGUCGCAAGCGUUAUCCGGAAUUAUUGGGCGUAAAGGGCAUCUAGGCGGUCAAUCAAGUCGAAGGUGAAAACUUGUGGCUCAACCAUAAGCUUGCCUACGAAACUGAUUAACUAGAGUACUGGAGAGGUGGACGGAACUACACGAGUAGAGGUGAAAUUCGUAGAUAUGUGUAGGAAUGCCGAUGAUGAAGAGAGUACACAGGACAGAAACCGACGCGGAAGUGCGAAAGCUAGGGGUGAGGAGAG
rnacentral:rRNA from 1 species